UGUUUAGCUGUAAGUGUUUCUGUUAUUUUUUCGACUUGUUGGUUCAACUUUUUGUUGUUUUCUUUUCUUCCAUGAUAUGAAGCCAAAUGACACUCAACGAUUCUGAAAUAGCUAGGCUCUUUUUGCAUGACACUAUUUGGGGAUGAAUGUGAUGGUUUUUCGAUUUAAGGAACAAGUGUACGCGAAAGAACUGUUACAGUGGGACUUGAACUUGCACCACGUUUCGUCAACGGAGUCUGACACGGUGAUCAAGACUGGGGAGAGGUCGAGAGGCAGAGUCACAUUGUUGGCGUUACACCAAUCAGAGGCAGAGGUCAAGGGCUUGUCUGGAGGCAGGACACGACGUGGCUUGUGAUAAUGGUCAUUGCUGGACAGACCGUAAUGGAGGCCGUUGGUAGCUGGUCCACUCCAGGAGUCUGAGA